UAGUUUAACAAUAGUGUUCGUGUGGCGCGUGUGUGUGUGUAUGUGAUGGAGUGUAUGCGCGGAGGAGCGUUCCUUUAAGGGAAUAAAACCAAACGGGCAUCCCGCCUGCUUGGACUGUGAGUGGCGGCUACCCGAACAGUCUCUCCCUUGCUUAAGUCAACCAUCAUCCAGGAGGGCGCUGGACUCCAGUCUCCUGACAUCUGGUAGCGGAUGUCUUUGUGUGGCUAGGUUCGACUCGCUAACAUCCUCUCCUCCAUUCAACCGAGCUUUAUCUAAAUUCAUCAGCACGUUCGGGAAUGGAGAAAAAAAUACACAUUUACAUUCAGAGUGUGUGACCGCUUGCCAUCAAGACAGACACCCGUGAAGACGACGCUUGUUUCGGGAUCCCCCAGCAAAAAAGAAACACCUGCUACUGUAAGAGCUGACGUCAACCCUGACGAAGAACGAUGACAGCAGAGGUGUCCGAGUACUCCUAAAAUUACUUUGAGGUUGGCAGGUCUGUACCAGGAAAAGGAGGAGGUGGACACGAAGAAUGCUUUGAAUGAAAUCCACGGUUGGGUCUGGAACCGAUUAACAGCAAUGAACGAGGAAUCACUGUAAUUCAUCUGUCCAUUUUCUACCGCUUAUCUGGUUCGGGUUGACUGGAGCCUAUCCCAGCUGACUUUGGGAGAUUCAGGUCACUGGACAGGACACAGGUCGAAAUGAUCAUCAAUCAAGUGCAUCAUCCAAUGUGGCAGAUUACUAUCUCUAUCUAUCUAUCUAUCUAUCUAUCUAUCUAUCUAUCUAUCUAUCUAUGGCAAGAAUUUUUCAUGCCCAUCCCUCAUUAAAAUGCAUGUCGCACCAUCUCUACUGGCUUAAAUCACAUUGACGUGGCAUUGCUAUUUUUGUGGCAGCCGCACAGUCGCAGUCAUUUUUGGGUACCACAGAAAUGCGAAGGUUAAAGCGUCUUACCACAUCACUCACAAGACGGAAGAGACACUCGUGUCAACUGAUUUUCAUGCUUCCCUCGACACAAUCUUUCCCGUUAAUCCCACGCAUAAAGCAUAAGCUGCUGGAAGUGUUCCUCAAGUUUUAAAAAGGAAAAAGAGCGUUUCCUUCGCAGAGUGGAGUGGCAACUCCAUCUCACCUGUCUCGCAGAAACACCUCCUCUCUCCGCGGAACUUGAAAGUGUCAGAUCCAUCUUGUCUGCUCCCUUAAGGGGCCUUUUUCAUCAUCCUCCACUUAACUUCGCUGCACGAAAGACAUUGCAAACAUCCAUGCAAUUGUUACUCGUAGGUCAAAUGGAAAUUCUAGUAAAUUCCAGUCGUCCCUCUCUUCAUCACGCCUUCACUCUAUCGCGUUGUUUCAAAGAUUAAUUAAUAAAUGAUUGCUGAUUCUUAUUAGUUGAAAAAAAGCAUAUUUAAGCAAAUUGUACUAUCCAUGGCCUAAAUUAAGCAUUUUCAAGCAUAAAAAUGGCAAAAUUAACUAACUAAAUUAACCAAAAUACAAAAACAAGGCAGAAGAGGCAUUGUAAUUGUGAAUGUACGUUGGCCACUCGAUAGAACCACUAGAACCUCCGACGUCACUUCCUGUCCUCCACACAUCCGUCUGCCUGCCAUUAAGGUCCCCCAGGGAACACAUUUACACACACGAGCAGGAGUUUUAUUUAUGUCUUAAAUGGCUUACUUACUCUAAUUACGUCUACUAUAUUGGGUAAUAUGAGUAUUAAGCCAUUUAAAGCCGCUAUUACAAUACAAUGAUGAGAGGUACGUUGUCCAGAAAAAAACAAGAACUGCUAAUGUGUGAGUUAUCUUAUUUAUGUCUAAUAUGUGUUAUUUUCUUUUCUUAUGUCUACUAUAUUGGGUAAUAGGAGUGUAAAGGUGACUAUAGGGGUGUUAUUUCAUGUUUAGAGGGCUCUCAUGAUGUUAAAAACCGUAUUUAGAAGACUGUAAACUGGUUCAUAACUAUGAAAACAUUCCACUGAUUCCAAUUAUCGGCGAUGAACAAGGGAGGACUGUACAUGUGAUGAUAAAAUGAAUCUUGGAUAUUGUUUGGUCUUUUCUUGAUUGGCGAUUUAAUCCUGGAUAUUUGGGGGGAAAAAAGGACACAAAAACCUGGCACAAACAUCAUGGAUCAACUGUAAUUGCAUUCUGUAAAAUUAUUUGCAGUGGAAGUCAUGAUUGAUGUGCUGUUUGCAAAAUAAGCACACACUUUCUGUCGGACAGAUAGUAUCGGCAAAGUACAGGAAGGUUGGAAAUCCAAUAAAAAUCUCACAAAACUUGUAAUAUUCCGAGAAUAAAGUCGCACAUUUGCUCAACUGCUCUGUUUUGCUGCCGCGUUUGACACGAUGACAUGUGAUAUCGCCACUUUAAUCUCACCAAUUGACGACUUUUUUGUCAUUCAUUUACGACUGUUUUCUCAUCAUAUUCCCACUUUUUUCCUCGUAGUAUUACGACUUUUUUUCUCAUCAUAUUCCCACUUUUUUCCUCGCAGUAUUACGACUUUUUUUCUCAUAACAUUACGACUUUAUUCCCGUAAAGUUACAACUCCUUUUUUCACUUUGGCCCUAAAAAAAGUCGUACAUUUAAAUCGUUUCAUGCAUGUAAAACUACAAUUCUAAAACUAUAAAAUCAUGUUUUGUCUUAACACUUUUGAGAGUCAACCGCUGAUGACAUCAUAGACGAGCAACAUAACGGAGCUGACGUGCGGUUCCAGUUGCCAUUUUGUUCACAAGCUAAUCGGAUGCUAACAAGGAAGGACGUUUUCUGAAAAAAGAUGAAGGAAACAGAUCUCAUGCAGUGUAUUCAGAACACAACAAGACGCGCACCGGUUAGACGUAUGCUAACCGGACAAUGCAUGCAAAAUUGUAAAUUUUCGACCUUAACCAAAUAUAACCGGGCCGAAAGGUAACCAGGGUUUCACUGUAUUUGGGUCAAAUUCCACAAAUAUGGGGGCAUUUCACUUCAUAAGACAUUUCUGCGACAGACGAUGUGAACAUGACGAUCCUGACCAAAGACGACAGUACUUUACUAACGAGGACCGCUCUCCGUCCGCUCAGAGCACAAUUACAGCUGAAGACUCAAUUCUUUAGUACUUAAAGGCUUAAAAAGGCCUCGUGCGGCUGAUAAUGUCUGUUAAACCGCGAUUGACCGAUCGCUGUGAGUGACAGAAGUUUAGCAGGGGCCCGAGGGCUGCAUACACAAAAAUUCAAAGAUGCUGACAGCCACUUUGAUGCGUUUUGUACAUUAGAGGUGCUAAAUCCAAUCCAGUGUAGGUCAAUAUAUGCCAUCUAAACAUCCUAGCUUUGUGUUCAGGCUGAAUUAUGCUAAAGCGGAGUCACUACAUCGCCGUCUUGAUCUAUUUAUAGAACUUCAGCUGGGGCCUAGUGCGCGAUGUUUAGUUCUCCACCAAAACGCCAGGGGCAGUGUUUCCUUGAGCGUGAGCAACCACAACUCCUUUUUCUCUUUGACGAGUUAUUUAGCUUGCGGCGUCUGAGUAAAAGAUGGCGACUGACGCGACAUCCAUAUAAAACUUAACAUAUUAUAUUUGGGAACUUCCUCGCUCAGACGCUCCUCUACUUGGUCCUUUGUGAUGGUGGAUUUUUGGGGAAAAAAUGCCGGCCAAUCACAUCUCUGCGGUCCCCGUUGCCCUUGACGGGGAGUUAGAAGUUUUUGGAGGUGCACAUCAAGGGUUUGGAGGGUUACGCUCCGGCGUCAUGUAUUUGGUGUAACAUCUAACAAUAUAUCUCAUUAAUAAUGAAUUGAUUGGAUUUUUGGAAUAUGCAGAAGGUUAAUAAAAAAUAAGCAGUGUGCCGAAAAUGUCCCAACGGCUGCACUUUGGACACCCCUGACUUGCCGGUCCUCGUAGGAUGCAGUGCUGCAGUUUCCAUCUUAUUCGUAUGUGCAGUUUCAGUCAUGUCAGGCAAACUGUCACAUAAUAUCACUAAAUUGGAUUUCACUCUCACAUGUGAAAUCCACCUUCUGCCUUCUUCUCUGAGCGAAAAGGUCAGUUGGAAACGGAGCGUGAACAUCCAAUUUGAUUGCAGGGUUCACAGGCUACGCAUCAGUCACCUAGAUGCAAAUUGCAGAAAGAACUGCAGCUCAGAGGGGAUGGAAAGAGCAAGAUGAGUAGGAAUGGGAGGGAAACUGUGUAUGACCCCUGUGGGGUUUUAAUGGAACUAUUUUGCUAAAAGAGGUGGCUGCAUGUGAGAAUACGGACUCAUUGUUGGGUGUGAAUGGAUCCAGUGUGGUCUAAUGAAAUAAGGGUGAGGCGAGCAAUGUGACAGGCAUGGACUCCACACCCUCUGUUGGACUGUACUUAGUUUGCAACUUCAGGCGGUCCUCGGUUUACGAUGUUUCGUGGUUCCAAACGUGCUCCUAUAAGUUGAUUAAAAACUUUAUUUAGGUCCAUAAAGACGAGACUCACUUGAGAACUAGCUAUAGCGUGCACCGGCGGCAAUAAUGCAGCGUGUCAAUAACAUCACUUAUUAGUUACCUUUUUGGACUUCACUAUAUCUCCUAAUAGGCGAUGCGCUAAAGAAAAGGAAAGCCAUCACCAUGGGAGGGAAAAUGAACAUCAUAAACAGUGAUGUGAGUGUUUUAUGACGGUAUUUUAUAUGUCCUUCAUGUGUUCUGUGUACAGUGUGAGUGACUUAGAAGUUCAUUUAGGUUUAAUGUAGGCAUAAGUUCCAACUUACACAAGACCCACUAGACUCACACUACGAUGCUGCCCAUCCCUUCAUCCAUUUGAAUCAAGUUGUUUUAUGUGCUGGCACCUGGACUCCCUCUAAAAGCAAGCUAGGAAAUGGAAUAGCUAGCACCUGUCCACACCACUUUGUCAAGCAUCCUGCUUUUUACCCUUCACUUGUACCAUCUGCACUGACCAAGCAAGCAUGCAUCGCAGGGUAGCAGUGGGACCCAGUGGGACCAGUUCGACCAGUGGGACCAGUGGUUGGAAAUGCUGCGCCACAGGAAAACGGUUUGGGGUUUCAAUCUGUGUUUUUCCAACAUAAUGGUGGUUGCAGUCAGUAGCACAGUGAUGUGUAGCAUUGUAUAGUAGAGUGGAAAUCAUUUAUUCCAAUGCCCCUCGGACUGGCUGACUGACACACCAGAAGACUAGGGACAUUGGGCUCCCCGGGCAAAACCCCAGGAUAAAGCAAAAGCACACUGCCACCUCCACAGGUGAACCCGACCCGCUACCACUAUCAGAAUUCUUUUUUGGCAUGAUUUGCAUGGAAAUUCACUCAUUUUAGAUUUAUAAACUAGAUAAAAAGAGAGUCAUAUUUUCUUGAAAAUUGCUAGACAUUAUAUUUUUUCUUUUUAGGAAUUUUUUUUAAAAUGGUUGCUUAAAAUGGGACUUUUUUACUUUCUUGAAAUGUAGUUUUUGGUCAUUGAAGUAUUGCUAAAACAAUACAGCCAAUGGUUGUUUUGCACAGUACCCUGUAUCAAUCCUCUCAGUAUCUGGGGAAUGCGUUUUAUUUUCUCCACUGAAAUAGUACCUUCACUUAAAAAUAUCUUUUCAAGGCGGCCCUUUGUUUGGCAGCAAAACUAGAAUGUAAUGGUUCAGAUAAGAUUGAAACCCGCAUGAUACCAAAUGUUGUGUAGGCGUGUCUACUUGUUCUGGCUGGAGCAGAUGCUGUAUAUAGAAACCCAAAGAAAAAAUACAGGAUGGGGAGUUAAAGGCCUGGGAGAGCAAAAGUGGGCAAAGUGAGAAAAAUAUAGGAUGAUGAUAAAAGCUCCAUGCGUAUAGGAUUCACCCGGAGAGGAAAUGGCUUGUCAGUGACCCCUUUGACUGCCUGCCAGCAAAGUGCUCUUUAAAUGCACCAUCAUCAUUUUGCAGGAAGAAAGCUACCGCAUUCUCAUUCUUCGUGUUUCUGUGGCCACUUAGUCACGUGAAAAAAUGAGGACGGCCCAUGGGGGGUGCAUAUUAUGACUGACUGCAUUCUAACUAUGUAUUUGUUUAAGCGAACUGUACUACUGGUGACACUGUUGCCAACAUCUAGGCCAGGGGUCACCAAUGUGGUUGCCCCCAUGACCACAUGAGGUGCCCGCAAGCCUGCUUUUCAUUCAGGUUUUCAGUUCAUAAUGAAAGAACAGUAGAAAGAAAUGGACUCUGAAAUACAAAAUGUGAGUUGUGGACAAAACAAGCUUUCGCUUUGUUUGGGUUUAAAAUAAGCUCUGAAAAGAAAUGUUACAAAAAUGAGUAGCUCUUGGCCAUUUUCAUUUUGUAAAAGUAGCUCUCACAAGAAAAAACCUUGGUGCCCCCUGGUCUAGGCUGUCCCAGAAGUCUCUUUAUGACAUCAUCGUCUCAUUUUGAGCUUCAUUUCGGGUGAUGAUAAAUCUCCGUAGAUGGCAACAUUUCAACUUGGCUUCAGCAUCUUAACCGAGUCUUGGAAAAGACGCAGUAUCGUUUAGAACAAUUUUAUCACCUAAAUGUGGACAUCGUACCACUGGAUUCCACUGGGAGCGUUUCAUGAAGUCCUUUUUUGGUUUCUCAGGCAAAAAUCCUUCCUUGUAGCGCACACAUUUCUUGCUGACAGCUUUCACCGGGAGAUUUUGUUUGGAUUACUCCUCCGGGCAUGUCGAGAGAGUUGUAGUCGCUAACAAGUCUGAUAUGUUGGAAAAAUGAAACAAUGAUUCAAAAAGUCUUGGUGCACCAAAAAGAAAAGAAAUUAAAUCAUCUCCAAAAUUUGGGGGAAAGUAGUACAAUUUCAAAGUGGGAAAUAAAAGCAGUAGGCGACAGAAGCAAGCAGGAGCAAGCAAAGACACGUCUGCACUCGACGGAAGCACAAGUGAAUAACGGAUUAUGCUGUUAUUCAUAGAUUAUGCUGUGUUUAUUCUGUGGCUCACAUUAGCAUGACUCUGUGUGGUUUGUGAGUAGCACACUCUUCUGGUGAAUAUAUGUAAUAGCAACUGAAUUACCAAUUACUCACGUUUACCGGAAGAAUUGUAAAAUAAUCCACUUCAUUUUACAAAUAAAGAGUAGCAAUAGAAUAACAAUAAAAUAUAAACACACCCUUCUCUUUUAUCCAGGCUUACAGAAGAUUAAGAAACAUUUGCGGUUUAGAUGUCGUUGUGUGAAACAGGGCGAGCGCCACCCCCGUGAUUCAUUUGCGCUUUCGAUGCGUUGAGCUCCACAUCACGCUCUCAGUGUGUCGCGGAAGGUGACUGGACGCCGCCGGCUUGUGACUGCCUUUGGGCGGGGCGGAUGAGCGAACAACACCCGCUGUUGCUCAGUGAGAACACAAAAUGCAGAACAAAAUCGCUGACUGGUGAACCGCCGUACACAAUUUAUUUCUGACAAGUACACCUAAAUGUUAUGAAUACUCCGCCAGCGUGAAUACUUAAAUGUGGAGGAGCCUUGUGAUAUUUUUAUUUAUUGUUUUCAUUUUGUAAACAAGGCUAAAAAC